AGUUCAACCUGAGACAUUUUGUUACCUCAGUCUGCUGAGCCUAACACUCAAAUGUACCCUGACACCCUGCUGGUUCAACCUGCAGACCUUAUUUAGUCCCACUUAAUUUAUGGAAGCUCAGAGUCACAGCAGGCAACACAACAUGACUUUAGAGAUUGACAAAUAUUCACAGUAACGUGUCUCCAACUGACUGUUCUAUUAAUUACUCAGCUAAAAAUUAGCAGAGACUGACUAAUGAGCUUAUUUUGUUUCUUGGUUUUAACGUAGCAUUGAAAUGAGAAAUCUACAUCUGCUGACUGAAAAAUGCAACCACACGUUUUGAAAUUCUGUAUCUUUCAACUGCCCAAUUCUUGCUAGGACAAAAACACUGUUUAGAGCUCACAUUUUCUGCAAAUACCAUGCUGCUAAAAUAGAGAGCUUUAGGGCAGAUCUUGCACAGUCACCCCAUUGGAGCUACAAAGAAACAAAAACAUGAGCUAUGUCUACCAGCUGCAAAGUCUUGGCUGAUAUAUAUUUUUUUAAUUUAAUUAAUUUAUAAUCCCUUUCUGGUUUGCAUGGAGGGGGACUGGCACAGAACAGAGAACUGUGCCAGUACCACUCUUCAGAAUACCCAGCCUCCCCAGGACAAGGCCAGAUGCUUGGCAGCUGGAGAGUCUAAACCUUCAUUUUUUAAGCUUUUCUCUGUACUUUUUUUUAACACAAAAAGGCCUAAAGAGAGAUGUUUGGGGUCGAAUGCUUUUGUUCACAGAGAAUAAAUUGUCUUGGUAAGAAAACAGAAAAGGAGAGGCUUUUAUUUAAGCCUGGCUGCCUGCAAGUCUAUACAGAUGAAGGCAGCACCUGGCUUAACUGGCCUUGUCAAUCCUCCUAGCCAACACAGCUUAGCUCCUCUGUGCCACACACACACUGUUAUUAGCACUGGUGCUGCUGACAUACCCUAGGAGCACAAGAGGUAACAAUAAAGUGCAUCAGCAUCUGGAAAUCCCACUUCUCAGCAUGCCAUAACUUACUUUCAAUUUCUUGACCCUUUGUUCCAUCGCCUGCAUGCUAGUUGGAGGUUUUGCUUUUUGCAGUUCUUCCAGCUCCUCUUCAGUUUUAUCAAGCCAAGCAGAGACAUCGCUGAGAUCAGAGUUCACCUGCUGCCACUGCUGCAAGUGCUGCUUUAUCCUGAGUUUAUUUCUGAGGUCUUGAGCUUGGAUGAGCUCCCACCUAUCAGUAAUGCCUGCAAGUGACAGAACAACAAACACUUACGUGAACAUUCCAUAAAACAUAUGCAAGGGUUUUCAAAAGUAAAUUACUCUCCAAUGUAUGUAGGGCCAGAUAACUGCUGUCAUGUACUACUUCACUUCUUCUUUCUUGAGAUAACACAGUCUAACUUUGCAUGCUACCGGGCGAGUUACCCACAGCAAUGCUACAGAAUCACUUCUUUACUUUAUCUUUACUCUAUCUUUACUGUCUUUACUUUAUCACUUCUAUUACUUCAAGACUGUUUUAAUUUAGCUGGAAGCUUAGGACAAGUACAAGGAGAUGGAAUUCAGUGAACACCAUUGUCAUCUGAUAGAUAUGACAAUGGGACAAAGUAUGAUGCAGCAGUUUGAACUUGGGUUUAUGUUUCAUCAGUUCAUGGCUAAAGGAGAUGGAGAUAGCACUUGUGCAAUCACUAGCACUGUUUCUGCAAGCCCCUGUCAGAGGGUGUCCUAUUCACCCCAUGUAUGGAACAUGGUACAUUUCUGAUAACAGAAGCGUAAGUUUAGCAAGCUGCAGAAUAGAGCUGCAUUCUUCUUUUUACCACUUAAUUUGCUUUUACAAUUGCAGUACAGACGUGAUCUUAUUACAGUCUCAAGAACCUGAAACCAGGAAUGGGGUCCAGAAAGGUUAAGAGAACCAUCUCAUUGGCCUAUUUUGAAUUAAGGACUGCAGCGAAUACAGUGAAGAACAAAGUACACUCCUAACUUUGACAGAACAUUUCUGUAAAUGGGAGCUGUAGUAUCUUCUUGUAAAGACUUCCAAAAGCUAAGAGAAUGAAGUCUGGCAAUCUUGUUAUAGACAAAGAAACAGACUUCUUUGAUUUGAAAUCUGAAUAAAAGUCUCUGAGCUUCUCAGUAUCCACACAGAAGUGAAAUUCUUUCCAUUCACUCCAACCAGCCAAGAGACAUGAGUAAGAAAAAUCUCAAUUCUGGCAGAAAAUAUAAAAGCUUUCAACAGAAAAUUCGGGCUGGACAAUAUGAAGUGAGAACACAGCUCAGUGAUGCUUAGCAAAAUGCAUUCAGUUACACUGUAGCAAUUUAAUUGUAUUUUACUCCCAAGGCAAAUGUGCUGCCUUUGGCCCAUUUCUGCUUUGUAUCCCCAAGAGUCUCAGGGCAAAAACUGCAACACCUUGCCAGAAUGCUCUGUACCUGACUGCUUCUCUGCAGCUGUGAUAGUCACAAGCUCUUGGUCGUCCUGGGGUUCUUCAUCACUCAUGUUAGCAGAUGUAAUGUUCUCCUUGUUGACACUGCUGCUGCUUGCAGAGCUGAGCUGCGUCACCUGGAAUGACAUUUUGAUGGGUGAGCCCCGUGUGUUAACAAGUCAUCAAAAGUCAAGCUUCAUUUGUGUUUGGCUUGCUGCUGAGCUCUCAUGAAUCAGAUUUAGCACUGGGCUUCUGCUUCUUUGCUAUCAGUUUAUGCUGGCUCUCUCUGUUUCUUGGGAAACAAACACCACGUUAACACUAAUUAUUACAAGACUGGACAUGGAAGUGGCACUGUGUGUACCAGACAGCCUAAUCUGCUGAUGCUCUUUGUUAGAUUCUAGUUCUUGGUAAUAUGAUACUAAGGCUUCACAACUGCAUUAAUGGUGACAAAAGCAGCCACGUAGCAGUACCACCUUGGGUCUGAAAGAGGGCUGACAGUUGGUCCAGAUCCACUGAGCCUGGGAGUUGCUGGUGAAGCCACAUCUGGGACUGCUGGAAACCAGCCACCAGCAGACAACAAAGCCUUCCCUCACUGCUAAUCCCAUUGAGUCAUUUUUUUGAUUGCCUUGAAGCAGAUUGGAUGGUGGGUUGCAAGCUAGAAAAGGACUAUCCUAAUCAGUCUGCUUAGUAAAGAGAGAUACUUUAAGUAAAUACCAAAGAAAGAUGUUCACACACCCUCUUCGGGAAGGUAAGCUCUCCCAGAAUCAUACUAUGACCAGAGGAUGGUCCUCUGUCAUGUUUUUAUGAUUUUUUGACUGACUCUGAUCAGGAUCCUAACACAUUGCUCUGAAUUGCUUUAGAGAAGCUUCUCUAGUGAGUACAUAGAUGGAGACUCUCAAUGGGUUCCUGAGCCACCAGAAAGAAUAUUUAUGUCCAUACAGUGAACAUCCCCACCACCAACCAAUCUUUUCCCCGAUGCUGGAGGAGGGAAGAAGAUGGAGCUACACAUAGCAUAGGUUCAGUGCCCACAGAGCCUCCAACUCACAUAGCCUGGCUUAUAGGGGGUACUCGUCUCUGCACCAGACAGUACAUCGCCAACAAUCUCUGCCUGGCUGUACCGGUGUUUCCUGCACAUGGGGCUCUCUGGAGAAUGCCAGGGAUGAGCUUCUGAAACAGCCUUUCCUGAAACAAAUAAAAUGAAGGCCAUAUGCCAUGAGUGCAAAUUCCCACCUCUGCAAGGAAACUGUUGCUUUGUAUUAAGUUAGAAAGCGCUCUAAAUAAAAUGGCAUCGUUAUGGCAUUAAAAACGACAGUUUUGCAGCUUUCCUUGCAAAGCAUGCACAUUUGCAAAACAUCAACAGUGUUUCAAAGGUAAUGAGAUGACAGCCAUGCAGUUAUGGGACAUUCUGUUCUCUUCUGGAAAAUGCUUGAAUACAGGGAUGAGUUCAAAAUAAAUAAAUACACAAAAAUGAAAAAGACUGCACUGCGGUUUUGGAAAGCUUGUGUCCCAACGAUACUAGCACAUAUCUGCAACACAUUUCAGUAGAGACGAGUCUAGACAAGUCCUAAACACUUGUCCUGCAUCUUACAGACAGGACACGCACGGUUCUGUCCCACAUGAUGCAAAAUGCAAAAAAAACCUUUCAGAAUUGGAACUACUUCUCCCAGCAAUUACAUCAUUAAAAUUGGAGACAACGAAAAAAGUGAGACUACCCAGAGCACAGCACCAAGAAAGUACCAGAAGACUUUGGAUCGAUACAAUGAAAUGCACGUUAACCACCUUGGCAAAAUCUAAAUGGCAUGUUUUUGACCGCUUUGUAAUGUACGUGUGAAUACUGCAGCGUAAGAACACCAUGGCAGGAUGAGGCAUGGUGUCCACACAAGGCAGGAAGUCAGACAUUACGUAUGAGAGAGGUUGAGGGAUAUAGCGUGCAGCACAGGGAGAUCGCCAUGUUCAGACACAUGCAUUAGCAGGUGCCUACCAGAAGAUGCUUUCAAAGUUUUUGUGGUCAUUUUAAGAUAUGCCUCAGGAUUUUCAGUGAUUUCUACAUCUGAAAAAAGAAUAAUGUCAUUUUCCUCACUAUGCAGUAUUUUCCAGCUACUAAAAACAACUGAAACAAUAAGGGUCAGCAAAGACAAUAAAAUAAAAAGUUGUUGGCACUAUAUCCAUCAGACAUUUUUUAAAAGUAAAGUUUCUUAAAACCUUAUAUUUCUUACAAUAUAAGCUAGGUUUAGACAACACCAUUCCCUCCAUCAAAACACUUAAGAGAUGAGACUGCUUACAUCUACUAACAGUACCUGAAAACCAACCAACAGUGUGGAAACAAGAUCUCUAUCCCCCUCCCUUCCCACACACAGACAUCCUGCAACUGUCUGUCUCCAAAGAAGCAGCCAGCAAUGGGUUCUCACCUGAUAAAGCACUGUAGUACGUCGCUUCUUCUUCGUCCUCGUGAGACGAAGAGCCCCCCACAUCACCUGUGUGAUCCCACUCGAGUGGGAUGGAGUCAACACUGACAGGGGUCUCACAGCCUGAUCUUUCAUGACCAUGAGUAGGUGGCAUAAGGUGGCAAAGGGACUGUGGGGAAGAGGGUCCCUCACUGAUGGCCUUCUUAUGCCAGGGAUCAUUCUGAAUUUCCCUGGAGUCUUCUGGAUCUGUUUCAUUUUCAGAGGUCUCUUUUUCAUCAUCUAAUCCCUGGAAAGAUAAAAUAUCGUUGCAUAUUAGCUAUUACUAAUAAGCAAUAAUUGUCAAAGAUCUACAUUGCUAACACAGCUAAUGAUUAAGCAACACAGUACCACUGGGGACAGUUUUAUGGUAACUUGCAGUAACCCAAGACACAAGUCCAAAAAGAAGCAUCACUUCUGCACCCUUCCUCUUUUGCCAAAAUAAUCCCCACAUCAGCAGCUACCACUUCUCUUCCAAGACACUCAACUACUACCAUAGCAUCUCUCUCUAGUUUGCAGAGAGUGGUCUCCAGUUCCAAACAAACUGCAUGGGUCAGCAAUGAAGUGAUGCUCAGGUAGGGAUGAAAAGCUACUCUUAGAUGUUCAUGCUACCUACUCCAAUUGCCUUUCAAAUAAAUGUUCUUUCUUUUUGAGCCAAAGCAAACCGGGGGUCAACUAAACAUUCCCAGCAGAAAGUAAAGAGCCUGCUGCUCCCCCAGCUCAGAGAUGCCAUAACAAAGGGGACUGAUGGACCUCUCAAACAAAUCCAUAAAGAGUUUAUGCAGAUGGACACCCAACAGGAGAGAAGUACGGAGACACAGCAAAAAUUUAGCAAACUUAGUACAGCUGCUGAGGGAUUUCCUGCCCCCUGUGAGCCCAGUCUACUUGGUCAAGAGGCUGGGGUAAGUACUAAGCACUGCCCUUCAAACACCAGAAUCUUGCCAAAGUAUCAAAACAACUCUUGCAUCUUACAGGAUGUCUUGAAGUCAGCCUUUGAUGGAAGCGGGCAACUCGCCCAAACACCUCCUGGCAGUAUCUGUGAAGUUCUUCCAAUUCAUCUUCAAUCAGGAUAGCAUCCAAAGGCUCACUCUUCUGAAUUAACUGCUCCCCAAAAACAAUUAGCUGAUCAAUCUUA